rnacentral:rRNA from 1 species
CAAUAGCGUAUAUUAAAGUUGUUGCGGUUAAAAAGCUCGUAGUUGGAUUUCUGUUGGGAACGACCGGUCCGCCCAUUGGGUGUGUAUCUGGCUUGUUCUCGGCAUCUUCUUGGUGAACGUUGCUGCACUUGACUGUGUGGAGCGCUACCCAGGACUUUUACUUUGAGGAAAUUAGAGUGUUUCAAGCAGGCAUAUGCCUUGAAUACAUUAGCAUGGAAUAAUAAUAUAGGAUCUUGGCCCUAUUUUGUUGGUUUCUAGAGCUAAGAUAAUGAUUAAUAGGGACAGUUGGGGGCAUUCGUAUUAACGCGUCAGAGGUGGAAUUCUUGGAUUGCGUUACGACGAACUACUGCGAAAGCAUUUGCCAAGGAUGUUUUCAUUGA